rnacentral:lncRNA from 1 species
AUGAAGAAGAGGAGGCAGCGUGAAGAGUGGGGAAAUGUUGGAAACGGCUAUCGAAUACCUGAGGAAUAUAACACACGACGUGCUGCGUCGUCUCCUUAUUCACCCUGUCCGCGGAGGAAGUGGGUCUGGGCGGUUGCUGUACCAAACUCUAUCAGCAGAGGGUGCAGGAGAGACGCUGCGGGAGAAGGGGCUGUUCUGGGGCUCGCUCUGCAAGUUGCAGGCACCGUCUCCCGGUGCCGGUCUUCCCUGCGGCCAGCAGCUUCUCCAGCACCUCCAUGGGUGGCUUUAGAGUAGAAUGUCUCUGGUGAGACAUCUCCCCUGAACACUUUUCCCCAGCAUCCUGCAGGGCAGGUAUCUGGCAAGUUCUGUAGGGUCAACUUCCAGGAAUUGGGGGUUAAAAAAAAGCAUCUGCCAGGAGCCUGGGACGCUCAGUGGGUUGAGCAUCCGACUCUUGGUUUGGGCUCAGGAGGUGAUCUGGUAGUUGUGGGUUGAGCCCUGUGUCCAAGACCAGUUCCUCUUACUUGACUGACAACAGCAGUCUCCCAAUGGAUUCCCCACUUCUAUUCUGCCAUUCUUGCUAUAGGCCAGCUUGCAUGAGCAUAGCACCUAGAGGGAUCCAAUGAAAACAAACCCAUCACAUCCCUCCCCCAGCUCUUAUCUCACAUAGCCAGAAAGCAAAGUGCUUGCUGUUACUUCCUAGGUCCUGUGUGAUUGUUCCCAUUUCCCCUACUCUGCCCCUUGUGCAUUUGGUUCAAUCAUGAUAACCUCCUGCCACAGCCCACUUGCCCAUGCUUUCCUCUAGUUAUUGCCGUGCUUACUAACUUCCUCCUAGAUCUUACUCCCUUGUCCCCUUCUCAGCGAGGGCUUCCCUGACCUCUCUAUUUCAAAUCUCAAGCCUACAUACACCCAUGCACACACAUAUCCAUGCACACCUCAUAACCUUUCCCUGCUUGGUUUCUUCCCCUUUGUAUCAGUAGUCAUGGUCCAAUAAGGGGACAGAAAUGAUACAAUGACUUCAACAGAGGAAGCUUGAUAUAAAAAUUGUUGAUAGCAGGGCAUUAAUUAUAAAGGAGUAAAGAGAACUUUAUCUUCAAGAAAGGACAUAACUUGGAGGGGAGGUCCCCUCCCCAAGGUGGGAAUUCAUUCUGUGUUGCUGGGUUGUAUGACUGCAGCCCAGUGGCUAACAGAGACAGCCCCUGGGUGGUCCAGGGGUAGAGAUGAUGAGCAGAGGCUGAUGGACAGGAAUACACCCCUCUGAGGUGGAGGCCAGCUAGGUCUGGAAAGACUUCUGCUGAAGUGUCCGUGGGACUCCCUGAGAAUCUGCCCACAGGGCUGACGCCGAAACUCAGUGGGAAGCUGUGCACACACCACAGCAUGUCUCUGUGCCUCUGGCAGGUGCGGAAGAGAAGGAAUGUACACCUAAACCAGGAAGUCCCUCUCCAACACUCUCUCUGGGCAGAACUGAACACCCUGCCAAAUGCAGAAGAGACAUGCUUCUCGGACCCCGCUCCGUUAUCGCAGAGCAGGCUGGUGGAGACGGAUUGGGAGCUGAAGCGCAAACGGAAAACAAGGAGAGUCUGACCUCUGGAUGGUCAGGUUCCAUUUGCAUCCUUUCAAACACAUUUGAACUUCCACUUAACAAAAUAUGCUACAUGUUUGCCUAACAAGAUACAUUUGUGCUAUUGAAAGUGAGGAAUGAGCACUGCAAAUGAGCCCAUGUGCAGCCCCAACUGCCACUGUAUCUAUGAGUGGGUGCAUUCAUUACUCUUCAAAUUCUGUCACUGUCCCAUUGAGUAUUCUCUUAUGCUCGUAUGUUAAAGAGAAACGAUAAAGUUAACCUCUGACCACUUGUAUAUCUUUAAAACUGUAAAGGAGAGAGAAGAAAACGGUGAAUAGAGACGAGGAAGCACUGAACAUGCAAAGAGAAAAUAUGUACAGCUACCACAAUCCUUGUUUCUGAAAGUGCUCACAAGACGUAGUUGGUAUGCGUAGCUCCUUCCCCAGCCUUCUCUUCUAAACUGCGUUAUACUCUACAGAAAGCAGCCAAAACGGCCAAACUGAAUUCAGUAUUUCUUUUUUUUUUUUUUAAGAUUUUAUUCAUUUACUCGACAGAGAUAGAGACAGCCAGCGAGAGAGGGAACACAAGCAGGGGGAUUGGGAGAGGGAGAAGCAGGCUCAUAGCGGAGGAGCCCGAUGUGGGGCUCGAUCCCAUAACGCUGGGAUCAUGCCCUGAGCUGAAGGCAGACGCUCAACCGCUGCGCCACCCAGGCUCCCCUGAAUUCAGUAUUUCUGACACAGAAAGAUCAACUAAAAUAAAUUCUACCACUAAGAACACCAAAUGCAAAAUUAUUCACCAAUACACUGGAAAAAAUAAAACUGUGAUGUAAAACGAGGGCUGCCUAGGGGACUGGGCCAUCUCAGUCAAUAGACUACAGGAGUCUUGAUCUGAGGGUUGUGAGUUCAAACCCUACGUUGGGUGUAGAGAUGACUUAAAAAUAAAGUCUUUUUUUUUUUUAAGAUUUUAUUUAUUUGUCAGAGAGAGAGAGAGAAGCAGGCAGAGGGAGAAGCAGGCUCCCCGCUCAGAGGGGAGCCCGAUGUGGGACUCAAUCCCAGGACCCUGGGAUCAUAACCUGAGCCAAAGGCAGACACUUCACCGACUGAGCCACCCAGGUGCCUCUUAAAGAUAAAAUCUUAAAUAAAAUAAAUAAAA